rnacentral:tRNA from 1 species
CCCAGAGUGAUGUAGUGGUUUGAGUGUUGGACUAGGACUCUGGAGCCCAGGGUUCGAAUCCCAGCUCAGCCA